CGAGUCGGCCGGGUGGUCGCGGCGGCACCGGCAACGGUGACGUCGAGGAAGGUCGGGGCUCCACAGGGCAGGGUGCUGGCUAACGGCCAGUCGGGGCGACCCGCAGGACAGCGCAACAGAGAGCAGACCGCCGAUGGCCCGGGUGACGGGCACAGGCAAGGGUGAAACGGUGCGGUAAGAGCGCACCAGCGGCCGGGGCGACCCGGUCGGCUCUGCAAGCCCCACCCGGAGCAAGGCCGAGCAGGGGACGGGCGGCCCGCCCGAUGUCCCCAGGUAGGCCGCGUAGAUGGAUGGCCACCGCCCGGGCGACCGGGUACAGAACCCCGCCUAUAGGCCGACUCGCCGU
rnacentral:RNase_P_RNA from 1 species